rnacentral:rRNA from 1 species
CUGCAUGGCUGUCGUCAGCUCGUGUCGUGAGAUGUUGGGUUAAGUCCCGCAACGAGCGCAACCCUUUUCCCUAUUUGCCAGCGGGUUAAGCCGGGAACUUUAAGGAUACUGCCAGUGACAAACUGGAGGAAGGCGGGGACGACGUCAAGUCAUCAUGGCCCCUACGACCAGGGCUACACACGUGCUACAAUGGUAGGUACAGAGGGUUGCUACACAGCGAUGUGAUGCUAAUCUCAAAAAGCCUAUCGUAGUCCGGAUUGGAGUCUGCAACUCGACUCCACGAAGUCGGAAUCGCUAGUAAUCGCAGAUCAGAAUGCUGCGGUGAAUACGUU